AUGAGGUCCAAGGCCAACGGAGACACCGCGUUCAAGGCCUCCGGCAAGAACAAGACGGCCACCGGCGGCGUCGCCAAGCCGAAGCGCGCCCCCACCCCCUUCUUCGCCUUCCUGGCUGAGUUCAGGCCACAGUACAUGGAGAAGCACCCCGAGGCAAAGGGCGUCGCGGCCGUCACCAAGGCGGCUGGGGAGAAGUGGCGCAGCAUGUCGGAUGAGGAGAAGGCAAAGUAUGGCGGCAAGAAGGCAGAUGCCCCAGCAAGCAAGGCGGUGAACAAGAAGGAGAGCACCAGCUCCAAGAAGACCAAGACUAACGCUGACGAAGAAGGUUCUGACGUUGAGGAUGAUGAGGAGGAUGAGGAGUAA
rnacentral:rRNA from 1 species